rnacentral:tRNA from 1 species
GCCGGGAUAGCUCAGCUGGGAGAGCAACAGACUGAAGCGACUCGUCGCGUUCUGGAGGUCGCGUGUUCAAUCCACGCUCCUGGCA